GUCUCCUUGAUCCAGCGAAGCUGUGUUAUGGGCAAUAUAGUUGAUAUAGAAUUUGAAAGGGACAGUUUAUUGUUACUGCAUGUAGCUCCCUGAAGCUUCAAACCUAUGAUUUAAGAAAGGAAGAGGACACGUGUGAACUCCA